UUGCGGACGGGUGAGUAACGCUGGGGCAACCUGCCCCGUGCCGGGGGAUACCGCCUGGAAACAGGCGCUAAUACCGCAUAAGCGCAUACAGCCGCAUGGCAGUAUGCGGAAAGCUCCGGCGGCACGGGAUGGGCCCGCGCCCGAUUAGCCAGUUGGCGGGGUAACGGCCCACCAAAGCGACGAUCGGUAGCCGGCCUGAGAGGGCGGACGGCCACAUUGGGACUGAGACACGGCCCAAACUCCUACGGAAGGCAGCAG
rnacentral:rRNA from 1 species